rnacentral:rRNA from 1 species
UACGUAGGGUGCAAGCGUUUAAUCGGAAUUACUGGGCGUAAAGCGUGCGCAGGCGGUUGUGCAAGACAGGUGUGAAAUCCCCGGGCUUAACCUGGGAACUGCACUUGUGACUGCACGGCUGGAGUACGGCAGAGGGGGAUGGAAUUCCGGCGUGUAGCAGUGAAAUGCGUAGAUAUGCGGAGGAACACCGAUGGCGAAGGCAGUCCCCUGGGCCUGUACUGACGCUCAUGCACGAAAGCGUGGGGAGCAAACAGG